AACGCACAUUGCGCCCCCUGGUAUUCCGGGGGGCACACCUGUUCGAGCGCCAUUUCACCUCUCAAGCCUCGCUUGGUGAUGGGCUCAGCCCGCGGGCGGGCCCGAAACUCGUGGGCGUCGACGACCGGCUCCAAGCGUAGCAAAACCCUCGCUUCGGAACCCCGGUUGGCGGUCGCCCCGGACCUCAAAAUCUUUCACAAGGUUGGCCUCGGAUCAGGUGGGGAUACCCGCUGAACUUAG
rnacentral:misc_RNA from 1 species